GGACACAGCCCUGGCGCUCUGGUUCCCCUCCAUGGUGCUGGCUGCCGCGAAGGCUGUGCUGUCUGGCCGGUCCUCUUUGGCGAGCCUCAUCUUCUGGGGCAUCGGGCCCUGUGCACGCAGCUACAGCAAAGAGCAGCUGGCUGAGCCAAGUACAGUGAAGGAGGGGCCACCACGUGAGAUGCAGCAGCUCCUGGCAGGGCUGGCUGAGCCUUGUGCCUGACUGGAGCGGUGGCGCUGCAGAAGUCCUGCGAUCCAGCCAGGUGAAGCUGCACCUGCGCCGUGCUCCUGCCCCAGGGGUAGGCAUGGGUAGGGUGGGCUG